GCGCCUGUAGCUCAGAUGGAUAGAGCGCGGCUCUCCUAAGGCCGGCGUCGACCGUUCGAAUCGGUCCAGGCGCA
rnacentral:tRNA from 1 species